GUUUGACUUCACAUUAUACUCAAAUGAUUUCUUGAACUCCAUCUUUUGCAGAUCUUUAUCCUAUACAAAAAGUGUAGGAAAAUAUUGCAAGCUUUUCCGAUUACAGUUCAAUUUCAUAUUUCCCCAGUCUAAACCACCAAAUGAUCGACCAUUAUUGACUCUACCAAGACAGUUAACACCUCACCAAGUCUCAUCAACUGAGUCAUAAUGCAUUUAUUAACAAGGUCUUUAGAUUUGACCUGCCCGGUGGAAUCACCAGAAAGUAUCAUGACCCCUUACUAAUAAAGUCUCUAAAAUAAAUCAGAUUUCUCUGCUGGUCUGAACUUACUUCGCACUUCUUACUAUUCAUUUCCAGGAAGAUCUGCAAAUCUGUGCUUUGUGUUCAUCCAUAAUGAACUGAAAAUCAGGUUCUCUACCCCAGGCAUCAGAGCGCAGGGGCCUUCAGAAGGCACUGCAUGGCUGCUGGUUUGGAGUCUGGGCAGCAUGAGAGAACCUCUUACUGUGUCCAGUUCCCUAUGUUAUUUGACCAAAAGCCGAGACUUUGGCGUGUGAUUAUGUGCCCCAAUCUCUGAUUCAGAAUUUCUCCAAGUUUGAAGGCUUCACCUUUUUCAGUCUCCAGACCCAUGGGAUUGGGACUUCAUUUACAUUUAUGGUUGGUUUUAUGGUCAGCAGAACUGGUGACUCUCUAAUUGGUGUAAAAAGAGACUCCCACAUUUCAAACCCACUGGGUCCUCUGUAUGAUGGCCUUAGCAAAUGUUGGUUAUGGCCCCUUAGAGCUCUGUUGGCUGGGUUGUUCGGCUCUCAUUUUAAGACACUGCUGUUAAAAAGCAAAUAUUUGUGAAGAUUCUUAUUAGAUAAUUUCUAAGGGAGGGCCCUUGGAAGCCCAAUGAACAUGGAUUCCCAUUUUGGUUCUUCAACUUAAUAGCUGAGUGAUCCACAAAGUUUUUGAGCCUCAGUGUCCUCAUCUGCAGAGAUGAGUGUAACAAUACCUACUUCAUUGAAUUGUUCUCAUAAUUCAGUGGGGGCUUUCAAAGGCUAUUAUUGUUAUGAAGUGCUAUGGAAAUGGUAAUAAUUUUUGCUUAUUCUUUUCCUUCCUCUUGCCUUAACCUUGGCAGGGGGUGGGGGCCGUGACUGGCAUCCAGGACAAACAAUAGACAAUGAUAAAGAAUGUUUGUAAAAAUAAAGAACUCAAGGCAGGUGGCAAAAGUCUCUGGGGUACAGAGGGGAGCAUAGGACAGAAGGGUGAGAACCAUGAGUAAAGGCAAUAUAUACGUCAAGUGAGAGGGGUCCCUCUUUCUUGACCCUUUUGUGGAGCAGUGGGUGUCAGCACUCAUUUUAUUGCAGGAGGUGGGGAGGGGCUAUACUAUGCAGCUUUUUCAUUGAUGUGUUUUCUUUUGGAGGGGCCUGGACAGUAUUAAGGCAAUGAAGAGGGUUAGAUUCCAGAAGAAUGGACACGGAAUUGUAAACAGGAGGCGGGAGGCUCGCUGAAGGUAAACGGCGCCCAUUCACCACCUUCGCUCAGACAGAUCCCGGUUUUGUCCUUGAUGUUGCCCAUAUUCAUGUGGGGCACCCAGCUUGGGGAUGGGAGUCAGCCGGAAUGCAAUUUGAUGGGUUUCACUGGUGAGUCAAAGGGACAUGAACAUCAACCAAGGAGCUGUGUCAAACCCAGAGGAAAAGCUGGGGGCUCUGAUGUGGGGUCUGGUUGUAGCCCCUCACUCUCAGGGGUCUGCAUGGAGUGUUGGGCAUCCUAUCCAUGUGACCUUGGAUAUGUUUCCCAACCUCUCUCUGAGCCUCAGUUUCCCAAUAUUAUCUAAUAUUACUACCUAUGUCACUUAUUACAAUAUUAUGUCUGAUGUUACCACUCAUUUAUUUAUUUAUUUUUUGAGGAAGAUUAGCUCUGAGCUAACAUCCGUUCCCAAUCCUCCUCUUUUUGCUGAGGAAGAUUGGCCCUGAGCUAACCUCUGUGCCCAUCUUGUACUUUAUAUGUAGAACGCAUGCCACAGCAUGGCUUGAUAAGCGGUGCAUAGGUCUGCACCUGGGAUCCGAGCCAGUGAACCCCAGGCCGCUGAAGCGGAGCUCAAGAACUUAACUGCUGCGCCACUGGGCUGGCCCCACUACUUAUGUUUUUUUGUGAUGAUUAAGUGAAAGGGUCCAAAGAGGGCAAUUGACCUGUCCCAAGUCAUCCCCUGAAUGGGCACAGAAAUGGGACAGAGAUGGAGCAUGUCACAUCCAAAAGUUCUACGCCAGAUGCAACAGUUGGCAGGGUUUGGACCAGGCUACUACCCUUGCAAAGAGGCACAUGGUGCCCAAGGGAAUGGGGAACGCUGAAACAUUGCAUUGCAGGGGAAAGAAGACAACGUGAGAAUCAAAUAUGUGGAUUCUUCUCCUAGGCUGCCCUGCCAGUCAUGUACCAGGAAGCACCAGGACUAGGAUUGGGAAACUAUGGCCUAAGGGCUAAAUUCAACUCACUACCUAUAUUUGAACAGCCAGUGAAAUAAGAAUGGCGUUUACAUUUUUAAAUGAUUGGAAAAUUUUUUUUAAAAGAAUAACAUUUCCAUGACAUGGGAAAAUUAUAUGAAAUUUGAAUUUUGGUGUCCGUAAAGUUUUAUUAGAACAACAGCUGUGUCCAUGCUUUUACGCAUUGUCUAUGACUGCUUUUGUGCUAUGCAGCAGAGGUGGGUAGUUGUGAGGGAGACCAUGUGUAGCCCACAAAGUCGAAAGUACUUACUAUCUGGCCCUUUACAGGAAAGUUUGCCAGUACCUGGACUAGAUGCCUCUGGAAGGUCCUGGCGGCUCUCACAUUCUAGACAGGAUGCUACAUUUAGCUUUGGAGUCUUCCCACCUCCCCCUUCAGCAUCAGUUCUCCUUGUGAAUUCUCCAUCUGUUUCUCAGUGCUGGUCCCUACCCCUUGCUGUCCUGUGUGGUUGGAUUCAGCCAAAGGGAAGCGGUGUUCAGACCCACAAGGAGGGCGUGGCUUAAACCCUGGGUUCUCACAAAAGGUGCUUCAGCAGGGGGGCAGGGAAGCGUGGGAGGAAGGGAUGCUGGACAUCCAACAGAAAACCAUUUCUUAGUCAUCACGGUUAUGUUUUGAUGAACCAAAAAUUGAGCCAGCGCAGUGUUGCAGUUUCCUCGGUGUCUCUAAAAGCUCAGAUUCAUGGAGGAAUUUCUACUGGGCUUGAGACAAGGACCAACCUCUGGGAAGGGUCUGUAACAGGGUAGACUUUCAGGAGGGGAAAGGCCAUUUUUUCCUAAGUUCCUUCUUCCUUUUUCUGCCUUCCUGUUUAGAUCAGAUCAGGAGACAGGAGUCUGGGAGGGUGAUUCCACAGCCUGGAGAAGAACCCUGGAUUAAGUGCUGCGCCUGCAGAGAGAGGCGUCAAUGGCUGGACCCCUCCCAGCCCUGAACUUAACGCAGUCUUCCAGAUACGGCUUGAACAAUGAAGAGUACAGUGGAACCAUUUAAUCCUUAUUUAGGACAACAAUCUUCUUCUAAGGCACACUAAUGCGAUCCUGGCUUGUGGUGGUGGUGUUGUUUGGGACAGUCACACUACUGGAGGAACCGUACUGGGUUUGGAGUCAAGACAUCUGGGUUCUUUCUAGCUGUUUCAUUCAUUUUCCCAGCAAAUGUUUAUUGGGCUCCCACCAUGUGCUGUGCACUGGGGGUACACUGGUGAGCAGAACAGACAACAGAACCCCAGUGAGGGAGCAAGUGCUGGUCAAACAGUCAAACGUAUAACACAAUGCCAGGGAGGGACAAACACAAUAAAUAAAAACAAAGCAAAACAGACAAACAAAAGUAGAACUGGCUAAGGGAUUCAUGGAGUUCUGACACUAACUAGCUGUGUAGACGUGGUAGAGCGAAGUGAGGGGGCUGACUGGUCAUCCCCUUUGCCUCUAUUCCUAUACGGAGCAGUGCCUUUUAAAAAUUUCUUCACUUGGCCUCUGUGUGUAAUUCUAAUUGACAAAAAUCUUCUAGUGUUUAAAAAAGCUUGAGAUCCUCUCUAUAUUGGGUAGUUUCUGGGUUCUCUUCUACCUCAAAGACUGUGGGAACCGCUGGGAUUUUUUCAUAUGAACUUCUAUAAACCAGAUCUCCCGUAUUGUACUCGUGCUUCAAUCAGUGUAUUACUUACAUUUAUUGGUGUGAAUUUUUGUCUUCUUAGUUUUGGUCUAUUGAUCUAAUAGGCUGAGAUAAUUUUGCAACAUUAAUUCUAACAUCUUACAUAUUAGUGAUACCUCCCCACUUUGGUUUUUCUGCUAAUCUGUUUUACGUACAUUUUAUAUCUUCA
rnacentral:lncRNA from 1 species